GGGCCAGCUCCCCGGCUGACCCCAGUAGGCACCCCGUCCCCUAGUACCCACCAAGGCAAGGGAGCCCAGGCCCAUCCCGAUCGGGGCCCACAGCAGCAGCACCGCUAAGCCCCACAGGACCUGGGGAAGCCCACCCCACCCCACCGCAGAGGAAACUAUACCCACCCCAACAUUCAAUCAUCUCCAGACUACACAAGACAACAGACACCCAGGUUAGGUUUAUUCUCCACCUCUCCUGUGUCUCUCCCCCACCUGCAGAGUGGACUUCUGCAAGGAUGGAACAACCUCCCUGCCAGUUGAAGAGUCCCCCAGUUAGGUCGAUGCACCAGAGGCACCCUGCGCCAGGGCUGAGCCCCCAAACUGAUGUUUGUAUUAAGAAAAUUGUGUUUUAUUGGCUGUGUUUGAUUAAGGUAUCACUUAUAUUGUUGGGAAUGUCAAAUGCUACAGUGGAGAACGCGUUUGAUUUUACUCAUGACUGGAAUAUGUUACUAAUAACCAUAGCAGGCCACUGUGAAAGCCAAUUAACUUUUACAGAGGAGAAAGCCAAAAACUUUAACAAUAUCUAUGAAUAGCAGGGGAAUGGUAGACUUGUCACAAUAAAAAUAGAGAUAUGUAAUAACAAACACUGGUCCACGUGAUUUAGGUUCUCCCUUGAAAUAGUCAGUAAUUUAAAAAGUAGAGUAUAACCGACAGGGGCAUCUGAUAGGAUGUGGUACUGCACAAGAACAAGAGCAAGCUAAAGAAAGAGAAAACUAUUGUGUUUAGUUUUGAUAAAUUCGAAUUAUAAUGUACCAUUACACUCAGAGGAUCAAUAUGAAAUCAAAUGUAUGCAAAUUUUGUAUGAAGUACAUGGCUGAUAAUUGUUCAGUCCUGAGCUUUUGUUUUUACAGCACCGACUUGACCACACCAACAGUUUUACGCCACCAAAGGAGGGUAAUUGCAAAUAUUUGAGGGAAGAAUAUCACAGAAAGUGGGAAAGGUAAGCCCCGAUGGGGGUGAUAACACCAUUAAUUCCACUUUUGGUCAAAUUCUUAAAAUUUGACACCAAACAUGAAAAAUUCUUCAAACAUUUAGAGACAGAACGGAGUUCUGGAUAAACAUAAUUUGGCAAACCACAUAAGGAUGGAGGGUUUGAAUCUAUAAUAUUUUGAAAUAAUACUCAAUAUAAUGCUGACUAUGUUGAUUAUGUUUAUUCUAGUAUGGAAGGGUUGGCUAAUCUGACCAGGAAAUGUAAUAAACAGGAAUGUCAGAACAGUCAGCGUUAACGUCACCUUUGACAGUCCAGACUAGGAUGGCGUUGGACAUCCUCAGGGUGGAAAAGGGCUGGUGUGACCAAGAUGUGGUUCCUCGGCCACUUUGGCUGUGAGAUCAUCAUUUGGGUUAAACAACAAUCUAUAGUAAUGUUUUGCACUGUUUCUUUAUGUACAAAGUUUCUGGAAAGACCCAAACUAUGUACAAACUGAGAUUUUCCUGUGGACUACAGAUUCUCCCGAAGUCACUUUUAAGUCGGCAGAACAGAUACAGAGGGAAGGGAGCAAGGGCUUGAAGGAAAUACAUUAUUCUAAUUGGAUUCCAGCUGUUGGUUAUCUUACUCCUUCUCGAAAUAUUUGUUGCCUGUUUGGACAAAUAUUUGUAGGUUUUGAAGAAUCCUGUAUUUGUGUGAUUGAAAACACAAUGCAAUCUUUUUUAGAGGCUGUGGGUAAAACAAUGUGUGUUGAGUCCAGACUCUGUGACGCACUAAGCAGACGAAACGUUAGCACUUCCUGUGACGAUGAAUAAGAUGUUUGAUAUUCUUGAAAGUUUUCUUACUUGUCCUUUUCCAUUUCCCAGAAAGAAACUGUCCACUGGAAUUUCUUGUGUUUAUUUAAUGUAUUGAUUGAUUUAUUGUGCAUGAGUGUAUUAUUGUCUUUUUGUUCCACGUGUUUUGGCACUGAUUUAUGGUUGUAUUUUCACAUCUGUCGUUUCAAAGUUUCAAAGAAAAAGUUUGGGUCUCCAAAACCUGGAAAUUCUACUUUUAAUUUUGUAAAAGAAAAGAAAAACAAUUCUACAACAAUUCUGGGACUCUCGGCCAUUUGACCUUAGAACUGAAGAAGCUUCUCGGAUGAGAGGUGAAACGUCUUCAAGCAACUCAAGGAAGUCCAGACGCUUUUCUUUGCAAACCCCUUUGACUAAUUCUACAAAGUUUUGUUAGGCGUCUGACAGAUCAUUUUUCUCUCUCUCUGAUGUAACAAAUGGAAAGUUCUCUUAACGUCAGCAUACCUGUUCUCAGUGGCACAGACUGAGGCCUAUCAGAGGAGGAGACUUGGCUGAUUUCCACAUUGAAAUUCUACCUUCUGUACAAGCACUGUGGGAGCGACAUUGAGUAAAAGAUAAUCUGGCAAAGGAUCAAGAAUCUCAAGUGUCAACAAACCAGUUUUUUCUUAGUUGAGCAGAGCUGAUGGCAGUGAAACACUGAAACAUUUCUGAUUUCGCUUUGUGAUGUCGGAGGAGAAGCUGAAGUCCAGACAACACCAGAGGGUUUUCUGGCCGUGCCAAAAUGAGGCCCUGUGAUGGAUGCCAUCUUGGAAGCAUCACAGAUCAGCACAUACCUGAGACUGGAGCGACCAGCUGCUCUAGUUUCACAGAGCGCCUCAUCAGUGCAGACUUCAGCCAUCACCACAAACCUACAAAAAAUGCUUGCAUGAGAACCAACAGUAAGGGACUGGACGUAAAAUUCUAGACUCCACCCUCAGCAUUAAAGUUAUGACAUUAUCAGCCGGAGAAUAGUCACGAAUCCUAGGAAGGUGUUCCCUCGAUGGAAAACCUUGGAUCCAAAAUGAAGUUAUUGGACCACAAUUCUUCCAACUCACCUGCAUCGAAGUCAUGCUAAUGAUUUCCAUUAACAGCUGGCUGCUGUUGGUUACUUUAUUUGGAAUUCCCAAUAAGAAUUUUGUUUCCUUCCAUAUUUUUACCUUUUUGUUUCAAUGAUGUGAUUAUUUUUCUUCAUAAAGUCUUUUUUCCAGUGAAGAAUAUCCAUUGACUUAUACACACACAUGAUAUAUACACACACGUUUGCUUACCACAGGAGUGCACAAAGCAAGUUUGGUAUAGCCAGUGUGAUAGUUGGCUCAAAAUAAGCCAUAACCGUUCAGUUCUAAAAUGUAAAACGUUGACCUAAUAGACGCUUUCAACUGCUCCUUUAUUUCCACAGAAGUCCCAAAAUAGAUGGGUCCACAUCACUUGGCACAGAAUUUAUGGUGCAACCUCCCAUUUGUCUGGGCUUAAAGUCCACAAACCUGGCUUAAUGUUUCAUUCACUAUGACCUUGAGCAAACAGCCCAUUAACUCUCCAGGAAACAAUUUACAGAGGUCAAGGCAGACAGAUAUUUACGCAGGAGCUUAUGUUUUUUUUUUUUUUUUUUGCAACCAUAACUAUCGCCCCCUGGUGGCAAGCAAGAAAAACUAUAGGUUUAGGGCACUUUGCAUUGGCUUCACCUUUCAGACCUGGAGUUUGAAAAGAGACUAAAGAGGACAUUUAAAGCACCAGCUGAGUCUCCAUCAGCACAAAAAGAAACUAUUGAUUGCCCCCACUUCAGUCAGAGACGUCACAGAGAAGCUUGCAGUGAAAGGAAACACUGCAAAUACCUGAACUCUGUUACUCAUGUGAAUUCAGGUGUUAACCUAUUUGUUUUGUGAAAUUACAUACAAUUCGUUAUGAUCUUGGGGGAUAAAAAUCCUACAAGUAAUAUUUUUUUUCUCAUUUGUGCUCUGUUAGCUGAAAUUCCAGCAAUAAACACAUUUAGCAGGUAAUCAGCAGUGAUGAAAAGAUGCAAGUGUUGCACUCGACAACCCAUUAAUGUGGCCUUGUGGCACACCCGUAUGCUGCCACCAUCUUUACAUCAUCAAACACUUCAAAACAAAUGCUGGGCACAAAAUUUCAACUGUGGAAAUCUAAUGUGCAUUUUUUGUAUCUGUAAAAGUAUAGACUGAACUGAAGAAAUUAUCGACGGUGGGACUGAGUAUGUGUGUUGUGCAUCACAAUGUUUUGUUCAAUUUUGAUAACACCAGUAAGUUUUUCUUAUGGUAGCGUUUUUUAAAAACAUUUUUUUUUAACUCUUUCUCUCCUUUGAAAUUUGUAAUUUUUUAAACCUAAGUAAGCUAUGAGAGCAGUUGUAUGAGCUGCAGUUUUUGUUUUCUGUUAUUCAACUGAAUGAAAGAGUUUUUUGAUUAAAGUAAGACAUGUUUUCAACAGUAGAUGAGUCGAUGUGGACUUUUAACUGGACUGCUAGGAUGAGUCAGGAUGUUGGGUUAAAUUUGAUUUGGAAAAUAACUAAAGCUGUCAAAUAAUGUAAAGGAGUAAAAAAAAAUAUGGGUUUUAUAAAAAUAAGGUUCACUAUAAUCCAGUUUGCAUUUGUUCCAGGUUUGCUGUACUGCAACCUUAGAGAUCAUCAUGACUACAUUUGACUUGAUUCACAGAAAGUCUUAAUAAAGGAG
ensembl:lncRNA